ACAUGUAGACAUAGUAGACAUGACUUUAUGGGGAUUAUGAGAUUUAUUCAAUUUGACGACAGAAAUCAACAAAGCCAGCAGUUACAAACCAAUAAAUUCUCUAUGAUUUUUGAAGUUUGGUACAAGUUUAUUGACAACAGUCAAAAUUAUUAUAAAUCAGGACCAUAUAUUACUAUUGACAAACAAUUGUUUCUGACGAAAGCAGAGUGUAGAUUCACUCAAUACAUGCCCAAUAAACCAGACAAAUUUUAGUCAACAUUUGAUGUAUGUAUGCAAAUGUAUGAUAAACUGCUUUCCAUACUUGAGAAAAGAUUAAAGUAGAGAACCCUCAGUUCAUCUGGGAGAGUUUGUCACUAUGAAAUUAGCAGAACCGUAUAUAGGAUUAGAAAAAAACUACGAUUGUUGGGACAAUUCGAGCAAAUAGAAAAGGGUUACAAAGAAAGAAAGAAUAAAAUAUAGAUGAUGUACUUUACUAUGUACUAAUAAAAGAAAAUAUAUUUAUACUGCUUACUAUCUUAUAUUACAUGGAAAUGAAUUUUCCGAUAACCUGUAAUACAUUAUUAAUGCGAAUGUUCUGACUGUAUAAAUAAUUACAACCAACUAAAUAGUCAUCGACUGGCGUAACUCAAACAAGAAUGUGACACCUCUACAUCAAUUUGGUAAUAUGAUGAAGCAUCUAAUGCGGAUAUGGUUUAUAUUGAAGGACGGGAAAAUAACAUCUACUUAUUUAUGGAUUCGAUUCACCUUUAGAACACUCCAAGCCAAAAUAUUUUUUUUAUAAAAGCAAUGUAUGUGUGCGUGCACUAUCAAAUGUAUUAUUUUUAUAUGAUGCUUUUAUAAUGAAAUAAAAA